GAAGUUGUCGUCCUCGGCCGCCAGCAAUGCGGCGAUGAAAUCCUUGGGUAUUUCGUCAAAGCCGAUGGGGGAACGGCGCAUUUCGCCAUACUCGGCUAUCAGCUUGUCGUCAUCGCUAUAAACGCGAAGCGGAAUCUGGAGCUGUAUGCUGCGUAGCGAGUCGACCGAUGGCAGGUUGGGGCUGAGGUAAAGAAACGCGCCACUGAGACUGAGCAAAAGUCCACAGAAAACAGCCAAGCACGACCAUAGGAAAAACUUCAGAAAACGCAUCGGGGUUUAUUGAAUCCAGGGUG
rnacentral:antisense_RNA from 1 species